ensembl:ncRNA W08F4.21 ncRNA
CAGGCAGGAGACGGCGAUGGACACGGAAUCGCGGCCAACGAGGAGCUGCCGAGAUUAAGUAGAGGUCCGUCGAAGAGCGAGAAGCAAUGGCGCGUGGAGAGCUGAAAUUUUAAAAUUUUCAAAUGAUUUUUCUAUUUUUAAUAAAUGUUUUAUCAAG